GGAGGGACAGAAUCCGAAGCGGGCUCCAGGCUCUGAGCUGUCAGCACGGAGCCCAAUGUGGGGCUCGAAUCCACAAACAGAUCAUGACCUGAGCCGAAGUUGGACACUUAACCAACUGAACCACCCAGGUGACCCUCAUGGGUUGUUUUUAAUUUACCCCCUUGACAGCAUCUCUUCAUCUCCAAUCCCCAGGGCCUCGGAUGCGUCAAAGUCUUGACUAAAACAAACCGGAACAAAAAACCUCUCACGUACCUUUCCCCUUCCAAAAGUUCAUAUACAUUGAAAGCAUGGAAACAGACCAAUGUGGUUCCUGAAAGAGAUCUCCACCCAGUCCCCUCAGCUGGAUCUAGGCUCUGUUGAUAUUUUUGGCGUGGACAUUGGAUUCCCCGAGAAAGUAGUGUUUCUCAAAACUCCAGUUGUUCCAACUCCCCCAUCAGAGGUUUUGCCGUAUCGACUUGUAGCCUGUGUUAUUAUUUGCUUAGUUUUCUACUCUAAUCAAGUCACUCUAAAAAAAAAAAAAAAAAUUUAGCCUUCUCCUAAAUAAUAAUAUAUGUGAAAAUACAUAAUUACAUGAAAUUACAGGCUGGAUGUGCUAAGUAUAUUUUAAACAUAUUAAAGUGAAUACGUAAUUACCGAAAUGAAAGAAAUAGAUGUUCUUGAGGCCCCUACAAUCAUCCUGGGUGGCCCUUUGGGCAACUCCUGCAUGGAGCCCUACUAGGGGUCCAGGCCAGCCCCCAAAGCCAUUCCACACCCACCAGGUUCCCCUCCACACGCUGCCAGCAUUGAAAUAAAGAAGUCCCUUGAGAGCGCGUUGGCUCCAGCACGAAGCUUGGACUAUUAAUCAUCGAGGCCCGCCCGCCCGCUGCGGUUGGGAUUUCAGCACGCAUGGGCAGAAAGAGCAGGCCCGGGAGGGGUUGGUUCGUGCUGACCACCUAUCCGAGUUUCACUUGAGAAGUGUGAGCCGGGGAAUAUUUCUGAGCCUCCGGGGCUGCCCGUCCUGGCUCACGCCCACAGAGUUCGGCCAGGCACCCCUCGUCUCCCCUGGGUCAGUAGCCGUGAGCUCCCCAGCAUGUCCCAUCUGUUUCCUUGAGGCAGGUGACUUCCUUGUCAUGCAUGGGAGCUUCCUAGGGGGAAGCCAGCUCUUGGCCCCGGGGAGCGCUUGCGUUCUACAAAUCCGUUGUUGCUGUGGGUCUGUGUUUGCCCUCGAGGCCGUGUCCCACACCCUCCCUUGUGUCCGAGGUGACUACUUUACGCCAGCAAAAGAAAACAAGCUUCACACCUCACGGAGCUGAAGGUGAGGCGACAGCUGGCUGAUGACGGCUCCUGACUCACCCAUGUGGAUCCUGGACCACAGGCGUGAAAGGAGCUCCCACCCAAGGGCACAUAUCAAGUCACAGAUGAGAACCCGGGUUUGGCUGCGCGGAGAGUGACGAGGGAUUGCGACAUGUUUUCAGCUAACCUCAGCUCUGCAGAGCCGAGCACUCGGGGAGUGAGGUUUAGGGAAGUCAAGCGUCCUUGGGUUGGUUUCCCAGAACAGCUGGGCAUGUCAGAAGACGUGAGUUCCAAUUUCACUCUCUUUCUUACUAGCUCUGUGACCUGAGGUGACUCCAUCAACUUCUCUGCGCCUCUGUGAUUUCACCUGUGAAAAGGAGGGAUUGCCCUCUGCUCCGCUUGCCUCCUGGGCCGUCCGGAUCCAGGGGGACCUCACAUGUCGAAGAAAUAGAACAGGAAUAGCAGAAGCCUGGCUGGACGCCUCAGCCCCUGUUCCUGCUUUCAAGGCGAAUGCAUUUUCUUUGCAUACGUGUGCAUGAAGGAGAAUGAAAUAGUACAAAGUAUCAAGCAAACUCAUAAUGGGCUACCUUGGGAGGGGGCAGGGGCGGGAGGAACCAGGUUUGAGGGUGGGGCAGUUCAUUUCCCUAGAAUACAUAUUCAUAUCUUUGCAGUUAUUUUAGUCUUUUUCAAAGAUAAUUGCACAGCAUUGAAUUGCACUGCCGGAUCCGUGAGGCAGACACAGUCCUUCAGGAGGAAGGAGAGGAGCUACAGUGGUCCGAAGGAUUUUACGGACUGGGAAACUUGCCUGUGGCGAGGAGGAGGACCGAUUUGGAUAAAUGGAAGGGAGCAAAGGCAUUCUCCCAGGGGACCAGCAUGAGCAAAGGGAAGCCAACUAAGAGCCACCCCAAAUGUGGGCUUUGGCUGACGGAGGAAGCAGUGGGGGAGCUGCACCUGUGCAGGGGGCAAAUCUGACCUCUCCCCGCCCAGACCAAGGAGUGUGGCAGGAGAUGCACUUGGAGCUCAAGACCACCAGCUUCCCACCCUCUCUGGACGCCGCUCCCUCCCAAACUGCCCGGGGACAGACGGGGCUGAAGCCUGCCGUUCUGGGCUAGAGCCCCGUCCAGGAGCCCCAAGACUGGCCAUGGGAUUGGGGGCGAGUCCCUGACCCCUCCCAGCCCUGGGCCCCCAUCCCUGAAACGAAGGGACGGGGCCCCUGGCACCUUGCAGCGGUGGCCAGGAGGGUGAAGUGAGACCAGGGCUCGGUCGGGGCACCGCUCUCCGUCCAGGCCGUUUGCUCACAGCACAAAUGAGAAAGUUGGAUGCGGCAGUGGCCAUGAGAGCAGGCUCCUAGUGACAAAGAAUGCUUCCUCUGCGAGGCCCCUCGCAAGCAGCCUCUCCUGGGUCUCCUGGACUCCCAGCCCCACCAGGCCGCGUGUGAACCCCAGUGGGGGAGGCAAGAGCCAACCCACUUCCGAAGCUGUCCUGGGAGGCACCCCACGCAGGCUGUGGGAAAUGGCGCCCAUUUCCAGGGGGUCCACCCGACAGACUUACCCGCAAACUUGGGGACCCACGUGUGUGAGAUGGAGGCCUCGCGCCAACAAGAGAGAGACAGAGCAUGAACGGGGAGAGAUGGAGACACAGAAUUGGAAGCAGGCUCCAGGCUCCGAGCCAUCAGCCCAGAGCCUGACGCGGGGCUCGAACUCACGGACCGCAAGAUCGUGACCUGAGCCGAAGUCGGACGCUCAACCGACUGAGCCACCCAGGCGCCCCAUAAACUUCUGCUUUUUUAAAGCUACUCUUAAGAGACAGAUGAGCUAAGCUACAAACUUGGAGAAAAUAUUUGCAAAUCGUAUUAUCUGAUAAAGGACUGGCAACCAGAAUAUAUAAAGAGCUCUCAAAACUCAAUAACAAGAAAGCACACAACACAUUUACAAAAUGGGCAGAAGAUCUGAAGGGACACUUUGUCAACAAAAGAUAAACAGAUUUAUCGCUCACUCUCUCUCUCUUUCUCGUUCCAUUUCCCCUCCCCCACCCCCAACCAGGUGAGGACACAGAAGGCAUCAAUCUGCAAACCAGAGCGUCCUUACCAGAACUGGACCAGGCUGACACCCCGAUCUCAGACUCCCAGCCUCCAGAAGCGUAAGAAAAUAAGUUGCUGUUGUUUAACACAACCCAGUGCGCGGCGUUUCUUAUGGUGGCCCGAGCAGACUAAGACAGUGGCUAAAGUUGAAGACUGAUGAUACCAAGUGUCGUCAGGGAAGUGGAGAAAGUAAGUGGGACAUGUACACACUGUGAGGAUAUACACGGUACAACCACUUUGGAAACCAGUUUAGCGGUUUCCUACAAACCUAAAUUAUAACUGCCGUGAUCCACCCAUUCUUGUCCUAGGAAUCUGCCCAAGAGAAGUGAAAACAUACGCCCACAGAAGGACUGGUUCACGAAUACUCUUCGCGACGUUGUCUGUAACAACCACAAACGGGAAACAACCCAACUCUCCACCAGCAUGUGAAUGGAUAAGCAAACGGCGGUGCCUCUAUCACAUAGAGGACCAAGGCCGGAAGCCCCUGCGCCAUGGGCUGAGUGUCCAGUCCCCAGGGCAGAGCCUGGCAGGUUCCAGGUAGGCUGUCUGACCGAGAGCUGGCCCAGUCCUGCACAACGGGACCCUCAGAGCCUGCUGGGGCCCGAGAGCAGAGGUGACAGCCGGUGGCCGUCUGAAGCGUGGGUCUGUGGGCUAACCUGGCCACGACUCGCCCCACGACCUCAGGCUGAUCCCUGAAUCCUUCUGGGCCAACAGAAAUAUGAUUCCGACUUCAACUGAACUUCCUCUGGAAUUCCCCUUGACCCUUGACCCUCCCACACAAGCCUCCCCACUCUGGGCUGUGCCUGCCUUGUCGUUUGGUUGCUCCUCCACAAGGGUGGCCACACGCUUGUUCACCAUUGCUCUUAGCAAGUGGCACACAGUAGGUGUUCAACACGUUUGCCAAUUGAUCAGAAACAUCUCCCAUGGGGCGCCUGGGUGGCUCCAUCGUUUGAGCGACCGACUUCGGCUCAGGUCAUGAUCUCACGGUCCGUGGGUUUGAGCCCCACGUCGGGCUCUGUGCAGACGGCUCAGAGCCUGGAGCCUGCUUCGGAUUCUGUGUCUCCCUCUCUCUCUGCCCCUCCCCUGCUCAUGCUCUGUCUCUCUCUGUCUCAAAAAUAAAUAAAAACAUUUAAAAAAAUCUCCUAUACUCUAGGCACUUGAUGUAUGACCGCUCAUUUAAUUUUCUAAACACUCCUGCAGUGUGGGUCUAGUCAUCCCCAUUUUAGAGAUGAAAACACUGAGGCUGAGUGAAACGACUUGAGGUAUCCAGAGACACGGGGCUGUAAAGAGGUGGUGGUGGAAUUUGAACCCGGCUCAUUAGACUCCGAAGCCCCUGAGCUUGCUGCCACACUGGGCUCCCCAGUCUCUCAUGAUGGGAUGACUUGACCUGACCUUUCCCCCCCCUCAUCGUUGGACUCCCCUGAGACAGAGCCUACAGAAGUGCCUGGCAAGGCUCGCUGCACAGAGGGGAAUGAGUCAGGCUGGAUGGCUGGCCAGUGGCCUCCAGUUCACCUGACUGGCUCAUGUUUGGGGUAUGUCACCUGUGAGCCCGGUUGGGUUUCUUGCAGGUUCCCACGGAGACCGGCCUCUUCUGGGAGCCGUCUGACGCUGCCUUUCCUCCCUGACCAGGCGACGAUUCCACUCGCUCUUCCCGAGGCCUCAGCCUUCAGCCCGACCGAAUCACGCAGGGGAGGUCAGAGCUCAUAAUUAUGUCAUUAAUCCUCAUGUGGCAACACACUGGAGGCUGUUUUCUUAGCACGAAGCAGGGCCUUAUGGGGAGCUUCUCUCUCUGCGGCCUUGCCCUGUCUGGGUCCGCAGCCCGGGAGCGGGGAACUUCCUUCCACAGAGCCCAGAGGUGUGGAAAUGUGAUGCUGGGUCUCCCGCACCCAAGAACCUGCACCCCGCUGUGUGUUGUCAGUCUCCUGGGGCUGCUGUAAUAAAUUACCAUAAACUUGGUGGCUUAAAACAACAGAAAUUUAUUUUCUCACUGUCCUGGAAGCCAGGCCAAACAUCAAGGGCCUACUGAGAUGAUCCAAGAUGAUCUCAUCUCAAAAUGCUUAAUAACAUCUGUAAAGACCCCUUUUCCAAAUAAGGUCACAUUCACAUGUUCCCAGUGGACAAAUAUUUUGGGGGGGGGGCCACCAUUCAGCCCCUACAUUCCAGAAGUUGCCUCCACCAGUGCCAAUUAACCGCAUAGACACUUCCCUCCUUGCUAGAUGCCUCUGUCGUCUGUCCUUUCCUCUCCAUCCCAACAGCUACUAUCCUAUUCAGACUCUCCCUUCUAUUGCUGGGACUGGUGCAGUAGACUUCUAACCUGCUCCAUUUUCAUCUCUCAUUCUUUUUACUGCUCCAGAGGGAUUUUUCUAACCACCAAAUUACCCUAUAUCAUUCCUGCUUCACACACUUUAAAAGCGCGAGUCCAAACUCCCAGGUGUGGUGUUUGAGGCCCUGACCGGCCGCUCAUCUGCUUGUCCCGGCCUCUGCUGGUGCCUUCCACCAGACCCACCAACACUGUAAGACCUUUAAACAGACCAUCCUCUCACCUUGCUUAAGCUCCUUGUUCAUUUCCCAGUCCACCCGCCAGAACUUCUGGGAGGUCUUCCCCAGUCCUGCCACGCGUCCCGAGCACCUCCGUCGGCCCCGGCACCUGUCACUCAUCAGCAUUGUCCGCCGAUAUGCCCAGGGUCUUCUUCAAUAGAGCUGGAGCUCCUCGGGGGCCGGGAUGGCGCAUUCUUUAAUUUUGUAAAGAGCUCGGCACAUAGCACGUGCUGCGUAAGGUUCACGGUGUAAGUGGCCUCGUAAUGGUAAAUCGCCCAGAAGCAGAGACCCUGCUUAACUCAUUGGCUUGACCCUGACAGCAUCUUCCCCACCCCUCAUAUCUUAAAGUUGUGGGAACUGAGCUCCUACAACGCACAGCGGAGUAUGCUUGAAAUAAGCAAAGCCUGCCUUGGCCACUAACGCUCCGUACAACUUGGGCAGGUCCCUGGGUUUUUUGGAGUCUCUGUUCCCUCAUCUGAAAACGGACACUGAUUUUGUCGCCCUCAGAACAGUAGUCGUGUAAACACAGAGUCACGACUUGGCCCAGAAAUUCUGCUCCUAGGUAUACGCCCCAGAGAAAUGUGUCCACAAAAGAACCGGUACAUGAAUCGUCAUAGCAUCGUUAUUCAUCAUCGGCAAGAGGCGGAAACAACCCAAGCGCCCAUCGGUGGAUGAACAGAUAAAGAUAUAGCGUAUCCAGACACCAGAAUAUUGCUCAGCAGUGGAACGGAAUGAAGUACUGACAUGUGCUACAAUGUGGAUGAACCUGGAAAACGUGAUGCUGAGUAAAAGAAACCAGCCACGAAAAAUCACGUAUUAUGUAUGUUUCCAUUUCUAUGACAUGUCCAGAAGAGGCAAGUCUAUAGAGACAGAAAGCAGGACUUGUUACUAAAGAGGAGAAGCAGAGUCUGUUUACCCGGCCCUGGAAUCUUGGCGGGUUCUCACACUGGCUUUGGACAUCGAACGCGGCAGAAGUGACAUUGGCAUCCAGUGCCAGACUUGUGAGCAAGGCCAUCUUGGACAAUAGGCCCCCCACGGAGCCAUCACCUGACUGCCGUCACUGAGGGAGCCCCAGAAACCAGUAGAAGAACCGCCACCUAAUCCCAGCCCCAACUCUGACCCUGAGUCACGCGCUAAUAAAUAUUUGUUGUUUUGAGCCACUAAGUUUUGCAGUGGUAUCUUAUGCAGUGGUAACCAACUGACUGACACAGGGACAGACGUUAAUAGAGCCACUUUUUUGUGCCCUUCCCUGCUUUUCCUUUUUUUCAAAAUUUUGUUUGUUUUCUUUAUUUCGAGACAGAGAUGGUGCAAGCAGGGGAGGGGCAGAGAGAGAGAAUCCGAAGCAGACCCUGAGCUGCCAGCGCAGAGCCAGACGUGGGGCUCGAACCGUGAGAUCAUGACCUGAGCUGAAACCAGGAGGUCGAACGCUCAACCGACGGAGCCACCCAGGCACCUCCCCCCCCCCCCCCCCCCCGCCGCCCCCUUCUCUCCUGUUCUGCCUGGAGAGGAGAUAGGAUUAUCUGGAGCUGCAGCAGCCACCUUGCAACCUUGAGGGAAAACAAACAGAAUCACGAUAUGAUUCCACAUUGGUGUGCUGCCUAAAUACCAACGGGUUUUGUUCCGUUUUGAAUUUCUUUUCACGCGAGAAAAUCAACCCCUGUUUGUUAUAAUACUAUGACUUCUCAAAUUACUAUCGUACUAUAAGUUCUGAUGAGGGGGAGGUAAGGAAGUGCUGAAUCACUGUAUUGUACACCUGAAAGCAACAUUACACUGUAUAUUAACUAACUGGAAUUUAAAUAAAAGCUUGAAAAAAAAAUAACUUCUAACGAAUA